CCUACGGGUGGCAGCAGUGAGGAAUAUUGGUCAAUGGGCGGAAGCCUGAACCAGCCAAGUCGCGUGAGGGAAUAAGGCCCUACGGGUCGUAAACCUCUUUUGCCGGGGAGCAAGGGCCGGGACGCGUCCCGGCCCGGAGAGUACCCGGAGAAAAAGCAUCGGCUACCUCCGGGCCAGCGGCCGCGGUAAUACGGGGGAUGCGAGCGUUAUCGGGAUUUAUUGGGUUUAAAGGGUGCGUAGGCGGGCUUUUAAGUCAGCGGUAAAGAUUCGGGUCUAAACGCCGUACGGCCGUUGAAACUGGGGGCCUUGAGUGGGCGAGAGGAAGGCGGAAUGCGUGGUGUAGCGGUGAAAUGCAUAGAUAUCACGCAGAACCCCGAUUGCGAAGGCAGCCUUCCGGCGCCCUACUGACGCUGAGGCGCGAAAGUGCGGGGAUCGAACAGGAUUAGAUACCCUGGUAGUC
rnacentral:rRNA from 1 species